rnacentral:rRNA from 1 species
GACGAACGCUGGCGGCGUGCUUAACACAUGCAGGUCGAGCGGUAAGGCCCUUUCGGGGGUACACGAGCGGCGAACGGGUGAGUAACACGUGGGUGACCUGCCUUUAGCUCUGGGAUAAGCCUGGGAAACUGGGUCUAAUACCGGAUAUGACUCCGCGGUGCAUGCUGUGGGGUGAAAGCCUUGUGCGGCUGGAGAUGGGCCCGCGGCCUAUCAGCUUGUUGGUGGGGUGAUGGCCUACCAAGGCGACGACGGGUAGCCGGCCUGAGAGGGCGACCGGCCACACUGGGACUGAGACACGGCCCAGACUCCUACGGGAGGCAGCAGUGGGGAAUCUUGCGCAAUGGGCGAAAGCCUGACGCAGCGACGCCGCGUGA